rnacentral:rRNA from 1 species
GUGCCUAAUACAUGCAAGUCGAGCGCAGGAAAUCAUCCGAACCCUUCGGGGGGACGUUGAUGGAAUGAGCGGCGGACGGGUGAGUAACACGUAAAGAACCUGCCCUCGGGUCUGGGAUAACCACGAGAAAUCGGGGCUAAUACCGGAUGGGUCAUCGGACCGCGUGGUCCGAGGAUGAAAGGCGCUUCGGCGUCGCCUGGGGAUGGCUUUGCGGUGCAUUAGCUAGUUGGGGGGGUAAUGGCCCACCUAGGCGACGAUGCAUAGCCGACCUGAGAGGGUGAUCGGCCACACUGGGACUGAGACACGGCCCAUACUCCUACGGGAGGCAGCAGUAGGGAAUUUUCCACAAAUGGACGAAAAGUUUGAUGGAGCAACGCCCGCGUGAACGAGAAGGCGCUCGGGUCAUAAAGUUCUGUUGUAAGGGAAGAACAAGUUCCGCAGGCAAUGGCGGCACCUUGACGGUACCUUGCGAGAAAGCCACGGCUAACUACGUGCCAGCAGCCGCGGUAAUACGUAGGUGGCAAGCGUUGUCCGGAAUUAUUGGGCGUAAAGCGCGCGCAGGCGGCCUUUUAAGUUUGAUGUGAAAGCCCCCGGCUCAACCGGGGAGGGCCAUUGGAAACUGGGAGGCUUGAGUAUAGGAGAGAAGAGUGGAAUUCCACGUGUAGCGGUGAAAUGCGUAGAGAUCUGGAGGAAUACCGGUGGCGAAGGCGGCCCCCUGGACAAAGACUGACGCUCAGGUGCGAAAGCGUGGGGAGCAAACAGGAUUAGAUACCCUGGUAGUCCACGCC